AAUAUUAGUUAAGGUCUUUAAACCCAAAGAAUUUGGCGGUAUUUCAUUCCAUUCAGAGGAACCUAUCCCGUAAUUGAUAGUACACGAUUAACUUUACUUGAUUUAUUUGUUUGUAUAUCUCCGUUAUCAGAAAAUCUUUUUGGAGUUAUAAUUUUCUUGUUUUUCCAUUAGAAAUUAUUUCAGGUCAAGGUGCAGCUUAUAGUCAAGUGUGUGAUGGGUUACAAUAAAUUUUUUUAUUAUGGAUUUAAUUUUGAAAUUUUUAAUGAAGGUGGAUUUGAUGGUAAUUUAAUUUAUUUAAUUUAAUUGAUAUUGGCUCUGAAAUGUGU
rnacentral:rRNA from 1 species